rnacentral:rRNA from 1 species
GACAGAGGAUGCAAGCGUUAUCCGGAAUGAUUGGGCGUAAAGCGUCUGUAGGUGGCUUUUUAAGUUCGCCGUCAAAUCCCAGGGCUCAACCCUGGACAGGUGGUGGAAACUACCAAGCCAGAGUACGGUAGGGGCAGAGGGAAUUUCCGGUGGAGCGAUGAAAUGCGUAGAGAUCGGAAGGAACACCCAAGGCGAAAGCACUCUGCUGGGCCGACACUGACACUGAGAGACGAAAGCUAGGGGAGCAAAUGGG